UUGGUUCACCUUGGAUUUGUGUUUCUCCAAAGGAGAAAAGCUGUAAUGAUAAAGUCAUUAAAUCAUCUGUUGUUGUGUGGUUGGACCAUGAUAAGCAGUCCCCAGCUGCCUUUCCUACUGAAGGGAAGGUUCUGGUUGACUUGUCAGACACUGCUGCAUUCUGAUCUACAGGCCUCCAAGGCUUUGGCAUAUAAAGUCUUUUCCUUUGAAAAUUGUCACGUGUGGCAGCUUUUAUGUGCAGUAUCAUGUGUCUCCUCCCUCGGGCAGAAAACACAACAGGAGAGGGGAGAAGUUUGUGUUUCAGUGUACCACAACAAGUAAGAUGGUAGAUUGCCAGCUCUUUAUUUGCAUAGGAAGCCACUGCUGCUCCAUGCCUGCUACUCCCCAGGUGCAGGAAGCCUCAGGAAGCAGUAAGGAUAAUAUCCUCUUGUCACUCCCACGGCAGCUGUCCCAUCCUUUCUGCUCCACAGUGCCCACCCUGGUCUUCUUUCCCCUCACCAGUCCUGCAGGUGGGAGAGAGCAGAGGCUGGGCUGUUGCUGCCAUUCACCCCCAGAAGUUUUGCGUGCAAACUCCUGCCUGGAGCUUUGUCACUAGCAAUUAAAUAUUCUGGUUUAACAAGGUAGUAAAAUAAAUGUGCAGUUGCACUCCAGUUCCUAACAGGGCUGCCACAUGCUAGGCUGUUGGAUCAGCAGGCAGAGCUCCAUCCUGCAGCCACUAACUCAUCCUGGAGCCCACAGGACUGACAGGCCUGAGAACAACUCAGGAGCAGAGUUCAGGUGAAAAAAUAAAGAGACUUCAGUGUUUCAGUGCAAUUAAAAACUCUUAAUCGUCACAAAUGCACUCAGUCACGUUCCUUCCCAGUGAUGUUUUCUGAUGUUUCCUUCCCUGAGCAGACAGUGCAGCUGACUCGGUACAGGUGACUCUUGCUGCUGUUUUUGAAUUGUGGAGCACUUUAGUCGCCCUCCCUGAGCUUCUGGACAGCAAGAUCUGCUUUGGGAUGGAAGAAUAGCACCCUCAAGAGUUGACAGUGCUGCUUCAGGGAGCCAUGAAUCCAGUCUCCUGAGAGGACCUUGGAGUGUGCCAACUGACUCUGCUGGCCUUGCAUUUGCUCAUGAAACAGAAGUUCACACCUGCAUUGUGUGAAACAAAAAUAUGGCAUUUUGGUGCAUUGUCAUUUUUGUUUCCCGUUGAGUCCUUUGAAUUUUUAAUUGCAAGAAAUCUGUCAAACCUUUUCUGAGGAGUUUACUGUCACAAGUUUCUCUUUUACUGAAA